rnacentral:lncRNA from 1 species
AUUUGUGUAUGUGUGAGUUGGUUGUGAUUGGAUGCUGCAGGUUUUUUCAUGACAGGGGUGUGGUGUUUUUCUUGCUGGUUUGGAGAUUGGCCAGUGGUAAUGUAAAGCCUUGUUGCUUAGCAGUAUGCAGUUUAUCAUAUGAGUUGUAUGCAGUUUUUAGAAGCUGCCCCCAAUGCCAUGCCAGAAAAAAGUGAGGAAGAUAUGGUGUCAAGGCCAGGUUCUGUUGUGUUUUGGACAGAAGAUGUGGGAUGCAAAAUAGCAGGGUUAGGUCAUGCUGCUGCUACUAGUUUUGAUGACAAGGGAUGGUAUUUCAUCUACUGUUAGAAGCAUGGCAAGGUUGGUUUGUUGUGUUUGCACAGAAGAAUAUCAAAGUGAAGGC